GGCGGGUCCGCUGCACCGCAGCGAGCUGCACCAACCUUGCCGCGGACACGCGCGUGAACACACCAGACGGCCGCAGCAGAGCGCGGCGGCGAGGGCGUCCCGGGCCGGUGAGCAGCAGCAGAGGGGGAGGCGGCGGCUGCCCCGCCCACCGGGCCGCGCGCCCCGCCCACGCGCGCGGGGAGGAGCCCGAGCCGAGUUGGGAGGAGAGGUGGGGCGGUCCCGGAGCGCAGAGAGACCGACUCCCUGGCUGCGGCGGCGGUGGCGCCGGGGAGCCGUGGUUCCUGUAAAACUUUGAGCAACUGGAAAUCAGCUGGAGGGAUCUGCCGAGGCCUGUGGUCUCGUGGUCCUGCGCGGGCGUGGCUGUGCACAAACAAGAGGAAUGCUGGUCACCCUGCUGCACCGUUGCUUGGCACUUCAGACCAUGGAUGUAAAUUACCACUGGAUUCCAGCCCUUCUCCAGGGAAGCAGGCCACUCUAGAACAGUGGGAUUAAAUCUACUCAUGUCAAGCAGUCACUUUCAAAUAAGGAGGUUCCCCCACUUUUUAGAACAAAAAAUGUAUAUGUCAGCAAGGCCAUUUUUCAGUAAAU
rnacentral:lncRNA from 1 species